GAUGAACGCUGGCGGCGUGCCUAAUACAUGCAAGUCGAACGCAUUGUGGUUGAAAUGAUAUGAAGAACUUGUUCAGAUUUGAUUUUCAACAUUGCAAUGAGUGGCGAACGGGUGAGUAACACGUGGGAAACCUACCUCUUAGCAGGGGAUAACAUUUGGAAACAAAUGCUAAUACCGUAUAAAUAAUUAAAACCGCAUGGUUUUAGUUUAAAAGAUGGUCUUGCUAUCACUAAGAGAUGGUCCCGCGGUGUAUUAGUUAGUUGGUGAGGUAAUGGCUCACCAAGACAAUGAUACAUAGCCGAGUUGAGAGACUGACCGGCCACAAUGGGACUGAGACACGGCCCAUACUCCUACGGGAGGCAGCAGUAGGGAAUCUUCCACAAUGGACGAAAGUCUGAUGGAGCAACGCCGCGUGUGUGAUGAAGGGUUUCGGCUCGUAAAACACUGUUGUAAGAGAAGAAUGACAUUGAGAGUAACUGUUCAAUGUGUGACGGUAUCUUACCAAG
rnacentral:rRNA from 1 species